rnacentral:rRNA from 1 species
UACGAAGGGGGCUAGCGUUGCUCGGAAUUACUGGGCGUAAAGGGCGCGUAGGCGGAUAGUUUAGUCAGAGGUGAAAGCCCAGGGCUCAACCUUGGAACUGCCUUUGAUACUGGCUAUCUUGAGUUCGGGAGAGGUGAGUGGAAUGCCGAGUGUAGAGGUGAAAUUCGUAGAUAUUCGGCGGAACACCAGUGGCGAAGGCGACUCACUGGCCCGAUACUGACGCUGAGGCGCGAAAGCGAUG